GACGAACGCUGGCGGCGUGCUUAACACAUGCAAGUCGAACGGUGAAGCGCCUUCCUUUUUGGUGGGUGUGGAUGAGUGGCGAACGGGUGAGUAACACGUGAGUAACCUGCCCCCUUCUUCUGGAUAACCGCAUGAAAGUGUGGCUAAUACGGGAUAUUCUGGGUCUGUCGCAUGAUGGGUCUGGGAAAGAUAUUGUUUCGGUGGGGGAUGGGCUCGCGGCCUAUCAGCUUGUUGGUGGGGUGAUGGCCUACCAAGGCGGUGACGGGUAGCCGGCCUGAGAGGGUGGACGGUCACACUGGGACUGAGACACGGACCAGACUCAUACGGGAGGCAGCAGUGGGGAAUAUUGCACAAUGGGCGCAAGCCUGAUGCAGCGACGCCGCGUGAGGGAUGGAGGCCUUCGGGUUGUGAACCUCUUUCGCCAGUGAAGCAGGCCUGCCUCGUUUGUGGGUGGGUUGACGGUAGCUGGAUAAGAAGCGCCGGCUAACUACGUG
rnacentral:rRNA from 1 species